CCUACGGGGUGCAGCAGUGAGGAAUAUUGGUCAAUGGUCGUAAGCCUGAACCAGCCAAGUCGCGUGAGGGAUGAAGGUUCUAUGGAUCGUAAACCUCUUUUAUAAGGGAAUAAAGUGCGGGACGUGUCCCGGUUUGUGUGUACCUUAUGAAUAAGGAUCGGCUAACUCCGUGCCAGCAGCCGCGGUAAUACGGAGGAUCCGAGCGUUAUCCGGAUUUAUUGGGUUUAAAGGGUGCGUAGGCGGCCUUUUAAGUCAGCGGGUAAAGGCUGUGGCUCAACCAUAGAAUUGCCGUUGAAACUGGGAGUCUUGAGUUUGUGUGAGGUAGGCGGAAUGCGUGGUGUAGCGGUGAAAUGCUUAGAUAUCGCGCAGAACCCCGAUUGCGAAGGCAGCCUGCCAAGCCAUGACUGACGCUGAUGCACGAAAGCGUGGGGAUCAAACAGGAUUAGAUACCCGUGUAGUC
rnacentral:rRNA from 1 species